AAAUUCGUUGAAAAUGGAAUUUACAAUAUAACAUCGGUGAAAGUCACAAUUACGGAUGAUGAUGUCGAUGAAUUAAUGGAUAGGGAUGAAAAUUACAAGAUCUUCUAUAAUUACGAUUCCGACGACGAAGGAGAAAUUGAGAAUUUCAAGAAAGUUGGACUUAGCAGAAUAUUCAGUGAAAUCGAAUCACCUGUGCAAUCAUUAAAACUCUGCAUGUACUCAGGUACAUAUCGACAUGAAUAUUUUGAUGGUUAUGAUGGAAGUGGUAUAUAUGAAUACAUCACAAUAGAAGUAAGAGGAUGUCGUUGGCCUAAUGGUAAGUAGUUUAUGAUUAAAACAUAACUUGCCAAUAACAGAAACACAAAUUAAAACGGCAUCAUACCACCUAAUAAACAAAACAAAAGAAUGUUACGUAUUCUGACAAAAUUUUUUAAAUUAUGUUUUAUAAAGAAAAAAUAUUAAAUAUGAUAUAGGCCCUACAUAAUACAGUAUAAUUAACCGCAGCAGGUUCAAAACAAAUACAAGAGAAAAAAAACAAAUAUUAUUUGUGAUAAUUCUUAAUAUUUUAUACCUAAUUCAUAAACGAUCUAUUACAAGCAGUAAAAAGUAGAACUGAGAGAAUAAUGUGAAGCACCCGAAACCGAUAGGCGAAUGAAGAAAGGCUUAUGGAUUUAUCGCGAUUAUAUGGGGCUUGCGGAUACGAACGGGUAGUGAGACGACAGUCCAGAGACUCAGAGAUUACAAUUGAUAUCACUAAGGUUCCAUUUAUCCCAACAAGGAGAGAGAGCUCUGUACAAUACAGUUAAACAAAAUAUGACCAACAAUUAUCAAGAGGAAAUACCUGUUGAUGUAUAAAUUCAAGUCCAAUUGAUCAGUUCAAACGAAUUCAGUU
rnacentral:lncRNA from 1 species